AUAAUUUAUCGGAAAAAGGCGCAACACAACACAAGGGGGAUCGCAGCGUUAGCACAUCCUGAUUAAAUAAUAAUACACCGUAACAUAACCUUGAACAAGCUCAUCGAUCACUCUUUUGAAUAGAACAAAACGUUCGACCAUCAUCAUUUUCUGGCUACCUCAAUUGUGAGUGGAAAAAAUCAGGUUCCAAGUGAAGCCUGUUUAUGGUUGUACUUCCCUCUUGGAGAACAUCAUCGGCUUUUUCAGCUGACAAAUCAGAUUGAAGGUCAGCCUCGCCUGUGUCAACAUUUUGGCAGUUGACUGUUGGGCUGUUCUGCAUAGCAGCAAUUGCUUCAGUAUAAAUGCCUGCACCGGUGCUAUCACCGCACAGGGUCCUCCCGCUUCUUGGACAAGAGCAGUUGGUUCGUCAUU
rnacentral:lncRNA from 1 species